CAUAUUCCAAGAAUUGCUAUCGACUGGAAGAAUCAAAUGUUCCCCGUUUAGCAAUGUCAUUCCUAAGCAGUGCUCUCAUUUAGGGUGAAACAGUUCAUGGACAGACGCUCAGGAGAAGACAAUGCCACUUUCAGAAGGGCACACAUCACCGAUGUCAGCGAGACGCACUCGACACAGGGAGACAAGGGUGCCGGCAGACCACUGCGCAGGGAUGCUGCAAACAACAGUCUUUACAAGAAUUCAUAAUUUGUUCCUACUUUUAGAGGCGCAUUCAGCAUUUUGAAUGGUGGUGUUACCAUCACCACAUUCGUGAAAGAGAAGAGUCAGUGAAGCCACUAAAGGUUCACAGUGACCCCGAAAGAGGCAGACGUUGCAGAACUUCAAGAGUUAAAGACCAGGCCAAGUGUAAAGAUACAUCAGACGGCCUCCUGAGAGGUGUGGAGGGAAGGCGCUCUUUCCCAGCAGAUCACUUUGUUUACUACUUACAUAUAAUUGUUGACAGCUCAUCACGAAUCGAUCUGACUUAAAUACUUCCCGGAACAAGUCUAUCUUGCUGGACCCGAGAGAAAUGUGUGUGACAGUGCAAAUGAGAUGUUCACCCAUGACCACACCAGUAGGCAAUGCAGCUGGGGUGCUGACAUAAUGGAGAAAGUCCCUGCUCUGAAUGUCUCCAACCAUAUGAAGUUUAAAAAGCAUGCAGCUGGGGGUCGAUGUUGGGUGAACACCCAGGAUUACGGGACAGACGUGAACCUCCGCCUGGCUGGACGCUUACAGGUUUCCCUUCAUCCCCUGAAGAACUGCUAAAACCAGCAAUUAGGAACCGUAAGCACCAGUACUUUGCCUUGAGGGAAAUUUGGACUUCAAGGUAAAGUAUCUAAGAGAUUUGAAAUCUGUCGUUAAACACAGCCUUGGUCUUAAAUGUUCAUAAUCCUUUCCCUGCCCUUGACUUUCUGCAAUAACUUCUUUCUGAAUUUCUCUGUCUCUGUUUACCAGUUUACUUUCUUAGGGAAUAACCUCCAUAAGCUACCAAAUGAUGAACUGUUUUUCAUUCAUGUGUUGUUUUUCCAGCCCCCUUAAUUGGAAUAAAUGAACAUAUGACUUGACUUUUAACCUACUUUUCCUUGUGCUUAUAAUAAAAGAGUAUA